GAAUUUACUUAAGUAGUUUAAAAAAAAUAUUAAUUUGUGGCGUUAAAGAUAUAGAAGAAAUAUCUUAA
rnacentral:tRNA from 1 species